AAUAUUUCACAAUGGAGGAAACUCUGAUGCAGCGACGCCGCGUGAACGAUGAAGGCCUUCGGGUCGUAAAGUUCUGUCCUAGGGGACGAUAAUGACGGUACACAAGGAGGAAGCUCCGGCUACAUACGUGCCAGCAGCCGCGGUAAUACGUAGGGGGCGAGCGUUGUCCGGAAUUAUUGGGCGUAAAGGGUUCGUAGGAGGUCUUUUAAGUCAGAUGUGAAAGGUCACGACUCAAACGUGGUAAACAUUAGAAACUGAGAGACUUGCGUUAACGAGAGGAAAGUGGAAUUCCUAGUGUAGCGGUGAAAUGCGUAGAUAUUAGGAGGAAUACCAGUGGCGAAGGCGACUUUCUGGACCUAUACUGACGCUGAGGAACGAAAGCGUGGGGAGCAAACAGG
rnacentral:rRNA from 1 species